rnacentral:rRNA from 1 species
UACGUAGGGUGCGAGCGUUAAUCGGAAUUACUGGGCGUAAAGUGUGCGCAGGCGGCCGCGCAAGUCGAGUGUGAAAGCCCCGGGCUUAACUUGGGAAUUGCGCUCGAAACUACGUGGCUGGAGUGUGGCAGAGGAAGGUGGAAUUCCACGUGUAGCGGUGAAAUGCGCAGGUAUCAGGAGGAACACCGAUGGCGAAGGCAGCUCGCUGGGACGGUACUGACGCUAAGGCGCGAAAGCGUGGGGAGCAAACAGG